CCCGACCCCUCCCCCUCCUGCGUCCCUGCCCCCAAGAGCCCCGGGGGUCCGCCAGCAGCGGGCGAAACGCGAGCCCGGCCCUGGCAAGUUUGCAGAGCGCGCUCGAAAGUAGCGUUGCGCGCGCAGACGAGGGGCGCUGAGAAGCACACAGCCCACGGCUGGGUGUCAGGAUCCGCGGCGCUUCUCAGGACCGAGGGAAGGAAGCCAGCCCAGGCGAUGCGCAUGCCUUGAGCCCGGGAGCGGGGAGCCUCUUCAUCUCUCCAUCUUCUCUUCGCGCGCUCCCAGCCGUCCUCGUCCGCUUACCAUACACCCCUCCAGAAAGGGCCACAUGCGUGCCAGGGACGCGAGCCCCGGCCACAGGGACCUAGCAGCCUAGAAGAGACGGGGUUUUGCCAUGUUGGCCAGGCAGGUCUUGAACUCCUGGCCUCAAGGAUUAGCACAGUUUUUAAUGCCACUUCCUUUUCUUCAGUCUGCUCACUGGCCUCAGAACUGUGCAUGAGUGACACCUGUGUGUAGCACAGGGGCUGCCAUACGGCCCCCACUGACACGGGCUCAGAACUUCACCAGCUUUAUGAAUGAUGCGUUUAAUCAUCGCAACUACUCUAUGAGGAAGACACUACCAUGACGACCAUUUUACAGAUGGGGAAACCGAGGCACAGUUUAGUUAACUGACUUGCUCAGGGUCAUGCACCUCGUAGCGGCAGAGCUGGAGUCAAACCUAGGCAGCCUGGCUCUUCAACCUGUGCACUGCCUUUCAUUAGAUGAGUACAAGAUCAGAGCUGAGAGACCUGUCAGGAAGCCAGGGUCAACUGUUAACCUCAAAUCAAAGCGGCUGUCAAAGGGAAAAUCCCAAACUGUGCUUGAAAUCAUGGCAGUGAUGCUCUCUCUCUGGCUGGUAUAUUCAUGGCUGCCUCGCUCCACUGGGGACUUCCUGGAGGUUCACCGUCCUCCCUUCCCUGCCCUCUAAUGGGUAGACACGUGACUGCACAGAACAGCAGCAGCAGGGAGGGCCGAAAGGACAGGCAGAGCUCACACAAGCUGUAAACUGUGUGUUCUUUAAAAUAUACUGUUAUAUUCUCUGGUGUGGAGAGCGGUGAAUCAUGUGGUUUGGAAGCUACUACUACACUACUAUUUCCUGAAAGAGCUUUCUAGCACGGCCUGUCACAGACACAGAUUUACAAGUAUGCCUCAGUCUCCCUCUGAGAACACAGACGAAUACUGAGCUUUAUUAGUUGGAAAAAUAUGCUAAGAUUCAACCAGACAAGAAUGUUUAAAAAAUUCUAUUAUUACGGUUAAACUUUUAUAAACAAAUGUUAGAGUUAAUUUAAAAACAUUUAUAUUUGGACAUGCAACCAUACUCAAGUGCCUUGUAACAUAUUAACUGGGCCGUUUUAGAUCAUUAUUAAUGUUCCAGACAAAAAGCUGCUCAUGCUCCCAGCAAGUGGCAGGUUAGCGCGACCCAUCACAUACCGUCCAUCUGCAUCUUCUUUGGCUGCAUUGAGGGGGAAGACAUAGAAGAAGUGACCCGGAAGUUUGCAGGGAGAGUCUCUGCUGACCCAGCAGCUAAGCCGCGAAUGUCCUUUGGUCUAAACUUUUUUCUCCAUGAAGGUGCUCUCCUAAAGCUUUUAUCAUCAUCCUGGUAAAUUAAACAACAAAAAACAAGAUUCAUUUUAAAAAAUAAACGUCAGAGAUGUAAAGUUAAAUGUCCUUUAAAAUGACUGCUGAACUCAAGAAUGUACGUAUUCUUGUUCACGUGUAUUUCAUCCCUUCUUGAUGACCACACAAUAUAUUGCCCAAACUGGAACUUCAGCGUGAAAUGGGGCAUGGUGAUGGUCCGGCUGGGCCUCAGCUGGCGAAGUGAGGUCGGUGCUGGGCCAUGGGGAUGUGCUCCUUCUCCCCAGCAUCGUGUUCUACUUCUUACCUUGCAGGAAUCACUUUCUUGCUACAUAAUACAUUUUUAUUUAUCUUAAAAAUAGUUUAUUUUUCAUUUAUAUUUAUUUUUUUACAGACAGAGUCUAGAUCUGUUGCCCAGGCUGGAAUGCAGUGGUGAGCUUAAACUCCUGGGCUCAAGCCAUCCUCCCACUGCAGCCUCCUAAGUAGCUGGCACUACAGGUAUGCCCCUGCCACGUGCAGCUCUACAAACAAUUUUUAAGCUAUAAACAAUUCUAUCUUAUGCCAGGAUACAGCCAACGAGUGCUUCAUCUUUAGAGGUGGCCUUCUAUUCUCUGUCAAACUCAAGUUUAUUCUUAAGGUCCAAUUAAGAGACUCCUAAUAGUGUGAAACAAAUGAGUCAUGGUUUGAAGGGGAAAUUAACAUUUUGUGUUUUUAAUAUACUUCUGAAACAUGCCACCCCACCAAUGCACAGGAUUAUGGGGGGUAUACUCUGGACUGGGGUAGGAUACCUAGUGGUCCCUAAAACCCAACUUACAGACUCUAUUCCUAAGCUGCAACCAAUGUUUUAUGAUGUGAAAACCAUUUUUGAGGGAUGUCAAAAAUUAAAUAGCAAAAAUAACAAAACUACCUUCUUGAAGG